CUUGCCCUUUAGACUGGGAUAACAGAGGGAAACUUCUGAUAAUACUGGAUAAGUUAGUAUAUCGCAUGAUAUGCAAAUGAAAGCUACGGCACUAAAGGAGAGCUUUGCGUCCUAUUAGCUAGUUGGUAAGGUAAGAGCUUACCAAGGCGAUGAUAGGUAGCCGGCCUGAGAGGGUGGACGGCCACAAGGGGACUGAGAUACGGCCCUUACUCCUACGGGAGACAGCAGGG
rnacentral:rRNA from 1 species